CUCUCAGGAUGAACGCUGGCGGCGUGCUUAACACAUGCAAGUCGAACGAUGAUCUCCAGCUUGCUGGGGGGAUUAGUGGCGAACGGGUGAGUAACACGUGAGUAACCUGCCCUUGACUCUGGGAUAAGCCUGGGAAACUGGGUCUAAUACCGGAUAUGACCAUUCCGCGCAUGCGGUGGUGGUGGAAAGCUUUUGCGGUUUUGGAUGGACUCGCGGCCUAUCAGCUUGUUGGUGGGGUAAUGGCCUACCAAGGCGACGACGGGUAGCCGGCCUGAGAGGGUGACCGGCCACACUGGGACUGAGACACGGCCCAGACUCCUACGGGAGGCAGCAGUGGGGAAUAUUGCACAAUGGGCGCAAGCCUGAUGCAGCGACGCCGCGUGAGGGAUGACGGCCUUCGGGUUGUAAACCUCUUUCAGUAGGGAAGAAGCGAAAGUGACGGUACCUGCAGAAGAAGCGCCGGCUAACUACGUGCCAGCAGCCGCGGUAAUACGUAGGGCGCAAGCGUUAUCCGGAAUUAUUGGGCGUAAAGAGCUCGUAGGCGGUUUGUCGCGUCUGCUGUGAAAGACCGGGGCUCAACUCCGGUUCUGCAGUGGGUACGGGCAGACUAGAGUGAUGUAGGGGAGACUGGAAUUCCUGGUGUAGCGGUGAAAUGCGCAGAUAUCAGGAGGAACACCGAUGGCGAAGGCAGGUCUCUGGGCAUUAACUGACGCUGAGGAGCGAAAGCAUGGGGAGCGAACAGGAUUAGAUACCCUGGUAGUCCAUGCCGUAAACGUUGGGCACUAGGUGUGGGGGACAUUCCACGUUUUCCGCGCCGUAGCUAACGCAUUAAGUGCCCCGCCGAGA
rnacentral:rRNA from 1 species